rnacentral:rRNA from 1 species
UACAGAGGUCUCAAGCGUUGUUCGGAUUCAUUGGGUGUAAAGGGUGCGUAGGUGGCGAUGUAAGUCUGGUGUGAAAUCUCGGAGCUCAACUUCGAAAUUGCAUUGGAUACUGCGUCGCUCGAGGAUUGUAGAGGAGAGUGGAAUUCACGGUGUAGCAGUGAAAUGCGUAGAUAUCGUGAGGAAGACCAGUUGCGAAGGCGACUCUCUGGGCAACUCCUGACACUGAGGCACGAAGGCCAGGGGAGCAAACGGG